ACGCACGCUGGCGGCAUGCCUAACCCAUGCAAGUCGCACGAGAUCCUUCGGGGUCUAGUGGCGCACGGGUGCGUAACGCGUGGGAAUCUGCCCUUAGGUUCGGAAUAACAGUUAGAAAUGACUGCUAAUACCGGAUGAUGACGUUAAGUCCAAAGAUUUAUCGCCUGAGGAUGAGCCCGCGUAGGAUUAGCUAGUUGGUGUGGUAAAGGCGCACCAAGGCGACGAUCCUUAGCUGGUCUGAGAGGAUGAUCAGCCACACUGGGACUGAGACACGGCCCAGACUCCUACGGGAGGCAGCAGUGGGGAAUAUUGGACAAUGGGCGCAAGCCUGAUCCAGCAAUGCCGCGUGAGUGAUGAAGGCCUUAGGGUUGUAAAGCUCUUUUACCCGAGAUGAUAAUGACAGUAUCGGGAGAAUAAGCCCCGGCUAACUCCGUG
rnacentral:rRNA from 1 species